rnacentral:lncRNA from 1 species
CUGAUGCCACCCCCGCUAAGAAGAAAAAGAUCAAGGAGGCUGCAGAGGAGCCAGCUGCUGAACCAGCAGCCGAAGACACUUUACCGAAGAAGAAAAAGAAAUCUAAGGAAGCUGCAGCAGAGGCAGAACCUGAACCAACUACGGAUGCCACUUCACCCAAGAAGAAGAAGAAGAAAUCCAAGCAAGCCGCAGAAGAGGCAGCUGCUGAACCUACCACAGAGGCCACUCCUCCACCAAAGAAGAAGAAAUCAAAGGAUGCUGUCACACCUACCGUUGCGGUUGCCGUGGCUGUCACACCAGAGCUCACCAAGUCUGGGAAGAAGAGGAAAGCUGAGACUGAAGCUGCCGCCGGGGCUGCAGUAGAGGCCGCAGUGGAGGCAGUCACUGGAGUAGAGA